rnacentral:lncRNA from 1 species
GAAGCUUCAUUUAGAGUGGAAUUAAGGUUUUAUAUGGAUUUACAUUAAUUUCCCAAUUUCUGAUUUUUCAAGGCACAGCUUUUCCUGAAUUAGCAAGUUCCAUCAGCUAACCCGAGCUCUUCACUUUGAAUUCAAUCCCUCAUUUUCUUUGGCAGGAAUAAAAGCAUUAUUUGUAAGAGUUAGGAUUAUACAGAAGGCUGUAAUUGCCAUCUGUAUUUUCACAUGAUGGCUUGGAUGAAGGCUGUGUCAUUUGAGUGCUUUAUACCCUUUCCUGUUUAUACUGUGCAGCCAGUGAUAUGGAUCCCAUGAUCAUCCCCAGAUCAAUUUCUGUAUGGCAAAGUUCUGCAUAUUUUAUAGGGAAGUAAUGGUAACUAUCUGAAUACUUGGUGCAGCUUCUUGCCCUCAGCCAUGCUACCUCCUACCUCAUCCUUGCCUCUGAAAUUGAUUUCUUGACUGGCACUUUCCCCAGCUGUCUACAACUCUCAUGCUCUUUGAUGAGCUAGCCAAAAUUAGGCAGUAUUACCACUGCACCUCCCUUAACUAGAAGUCCUUCAUUUGUUUUGUCAGGUACGAGUGUACAGGUGAAAUCAGAUGGACUCAUCUGACCAGCACAGCUUCUUUCCACGCCAGCCACCUCUCAAGCAAAAUCUUCAUGCUGGUAGCUGAGUCUCUGUGGGUUCUUGAUGGGUUAUUAUCUACUCCUCCGACGUGGUUAAAGAUCCAGCUCUAGUUUUAGAGGGCAGAAAAUCUCUACAUGAGAAUACAAGUUGGUCAUGCUCUGGGAAGAAGUGGUUUGCUGCAGUCCUGGCUUGGGUGAGCAUUUGUCCUUACCAUAAAGCAACUGUUUCAUAUGUAGAUGUGUGGAAUAUAUUCACACAUUUAAAG